rnacentral:lncRNA from 1 species
UUAUCUUCUCUUGCUCAAGGGACACGCCAACUGUGAACUCUUCCCUCCUCACCUCCUGGCAGGGAGAUGGGUAAUUCCAAAGCUCAUAUAUACCCCAAAGUAGCCUUUUUAGGUUUUGUCCCUCUCCCUUUGGGUCUUUUAUAACACAGCUGUCUACAUGAAGAGAAGAAAGUCAGCACCAAGCUGAUGGACUCUAAGUGAUCACAGAUACAAAGAGACAGUGGUUUCUGAGUAGGUGCAAUGUUAUGAAACAGGGUGAAAACUAUCAAGCACAGGUGGGUGUCUGCUACUGAGAGGGACUGCAAAGAGCCGAGACAGCCCAUCAGGUAAGCAGGCCUCGAUAUAGGACCAAGAAGCAAGUGCUGGGCACCUCCAGAGGAUCCCAUGUGGCUGCCCUCAAUCAUCCAGAAGAGCAGAAAGUAAGCUGAUACAAACCACGUUCUUCAUGGCCUGCGAUGGGGCACAUGAACCCAUGACUGCAUGAGUAAAUGUCGCCGCAGGGCUCUGUGUGGAGUGUGACUGGGGGGGUGUGGAUCCUUAGCAAAAUGAAUCAAGAGGCAAACUUUGCCUGUGAUGGCAACACCACUCAGGUCCCCCACUUCUCCUGUCUUUGGGGUUGACUUGCUCCAGUUGGAAAGCAGCUUCCCUGAAGCUGCUUUUCCUGCCCUUUCUCCCCCAGGAAGCUGACGGGAGGAGGAAAAUGAAGUAUCUGAUGCAGGGCUAAGGUUAGACAGAAAACAUAAGAACAAGGAGGAAAAGAAGCCCUCUGAGACUCUUGGGUGAGGACAUUGAGGGACAGAAUAUAUAUUUCUAGGGUCCCUAGUGGUUCCCCUCUGUCACCCAGGCUAGGAUGCAGUGGCACAACACAGCUCAUUGCAGCCUUGAACUUCCAGGCUCAAGUGAUCCUCCCACCUCAGCCUCCUGAGUAGCUGGGACUACAGGUAUGCACCACCACACCUGACUGAUUUUUAAAAUUUUUAUAGAGAUGAGUUCUCGCUAUGUUGCCCAGGCUGGUCUCAAACUCUUGUGCUCAAGCAAUCCUCCCGCCUGGGCCUCCCAAAGUGCUAGGAUUACAGGCAUGAGCCACUAAGCCCGGCCAAGCUUGACUUUAAUAUCUCGCUACAUGUCUCUACUAGAGAGUAUCUUUUAAGCUUCACUUGGUCAAAUAACAGUAAUUACAUGGCUCACACAUAGCAGGUACAUACAUCACUUUGUUCAUUUCCUUCACAGCACUAAUCAUAAAGGGGAACAACCUUUUAAAUUUGCUUAAUUAAUAGCUUUCUGCUCCAACUAGGAUACAACCUCCUAGAAUAUUGCCUGAUCUAGAGUAGACACUCAAUAAACAUUUGCUGAAUGAAUGAAUUCAGACAGUUAGCUACUGCCUGUUUCUUCUUAUAGGCAGAAGCCAUCUCUCGUGUAUGUGUCUAUAUCUAUAGCAGCUAGCGCAGAUUUUUAUAUAUACAGAAAACUCAACAACUGAUCUCUGAAACCAUGAAUCAAGGCGUGUGAAUGAAUAAAUGAGUUAAUUAAUAUAUAAAUGAACAGGCAAACAGUACUAAUAUUCCUAUGUCCACUGUGAAAAAAUUAGUAAGCAUGCAUGCUACUACAGAGGAUAUUUCAGAAUGCAUGGUGAGUUUAAGGGCCUUGUUCUACGCUCCAGCUUCCUCUCUGUAGAACUUUCUCCCCGGGAGUCAGGUGAAGAGUACAGAUUGAGUGCUAGAGACAGUGGUUUUCAGCAGAACUCUGAACCUAAGCUAAGGAAGUGAUGACUCCUCUCCCUUCCUAACUAUUUUCUAAGAAUGUUUUGGCCCUCUGCCAUCAAAGGAUGAAUGCUACAAGUAGUGUAAGUUAGUAAUAUGGCGAGUGUGAUGAUUCAAAUGGCUCAAAGGAGGCAAAAAAAAGUCUUUGUUGCACAGUUCUCUUUCCUAUUCUUUUCUAUAAAUAGCAUGUUGAUUUUUAAGAGCUGCCAGAUUUUAUAAACUUCUUUUCCAGAGUGAUUUAUUAGUGUCAAGCAUUACUAUCAUCCUGUAGUUCUAAACUCCUCUCCUGUGGGCAGUAAUUUAGCCCUAGUUUUUUCUCUGUGAUAAACCUUUGCAUGAUUCGUGAGUCUCUAAUUAGGGAUCAUAGUUUCCUUGCAGGUCUCUGCAAAGAAACAGCCAACAAUCUCAGGUUAAGAGACUCAACACAAGAGAGAAACCAAUUUUGCAAAGUGUCCCAAUAAUGUCUCUCAUAGAACUUUUUCUCCCUGAGCCAGGAUCCAAAAUAGUGUCAUGCAUUGCACGUAGCUGUCAUGCCUCUUUAGUCUCCUUUAAUCUCGAACAGCUGAUGGGGGCAUAUUUGCAGCGAGUAUCCAUUAAAAAAUACUUACACUCUCCAGAUACAUCAGCUUGGUUAAUUGGAAAGCUCUUUAAUAAUUGUUUUAGUACAUAAAAUUAAGAGUUUCCACAAGAAUAAUUAAUCAUACAGUAUUUUAUAAUAAGAAAUAUUUAUAUAUCAACUGACUACGGAAUUUCAACUUGCAAAGCACAUAAAUGGAUUUUUCACCCUGAGUUACAUCUAAAAUGCUUACCUAUAUUUGAAAGUGAUGGAAAGCUGGUGAGUAAAUAUUCCCCUAUUCUGUUCCUUGGGUGGACAAUUCUGAGACACAUUCUACACAUUUUCUAAGAAGGUUCUGGCAGCAUUGAGAUGCAUGUGCUCACAAAGGUGUCAGUCUCAGUCUGUACGGGCUGCUAUGACAAACAUGCCACAGCCUGGGUGGCCAGCAUAGUCAGGUUCUGGUGAAGGCUCACUUUCCUAAUUCUAAGACAAUGUUCUUGUUGUGUCCUCACAUGGCAGAAGGGGAAGAAGUGAGAGAGAUAUUUGGGGUCUCUUUUAUAAGGGCACUAAUCAUUUUCAUGAGAGCUCCACUCUCAUGACCUAAUCACCUUGCAAAGAACCCACCUCCUAAGACCAUCACCUUAGGGGUCAGGAUUUCAACAUACACAUUUGGGGGAUCACAAACAUCCAGUCCAUGACAGUGACCAAAUUAAGAGCUCACCCUUGCAAGGAUCCAAGAAGGAAGACAAAAAAAAAAAAUCAGUUAAAAGAAAAAUAUGAUAGGAAAGUUGAAAGACAUUGAAAAUUGAAAGACAUUGAAAAUUGAAAAAGAUUCACUCAUGGAAACUCCAGAAGGAGAGAACAGAGAAAAUAGGGGAAGUAAUUGAAGAAAUAAAAUAAAAUUUCCCAAGCUGAAGAAAAGCACCAGUUGUCAGAUUGAAAAAGCCUGCUGAAUGACAUCUCCAGAGAGAAGAAAGCCAGUUACCUACAAUGAAAAGAGACAAAAAAUUGGCAUCGCGCUUCUCAUGUCAACAUGGAUAUUAGUCAACUAUGUGGCAAACCAUGGCAAUAGUUCAAUGGGUUGGUGGUGAAACCCUGUUGUUGUUUUGUUUUGUUUCAUUUUUGAGAUAGGGUUUUGCUAUAUCAUCGAGGCUGGUCUUGAACUUCCUGCCUCAAAUGAUCCUCCCCCCUUAGCCCUUUCAUGUAUUUCCUUCUUGGAGAGAGCUGUGUCUUCAUUUUUCUCUCCCUGAUUGUUGUAGCAGUCUGGAGUUAUCUUAAGCUCUGCUUUUCUAUUCUAGGCCCCUACACCAGGACGCCUUAAGGGAAGGAAGUUUGCUUGCUUCAGAGUGUAGUUCUCCACUUUUAACCUGGGAUCAAACACGUGUGUUGUGUGUAUAAACCAGGAGACAGGAGAGAGAUGGUUUCUGGGCUGUCCUCUCUGACCUGAUGCAGCUGUUUAUGACUCACUAGAAGCAUUGCUCCAUGGCUACUUCUCUUCUUGUUCCAUUUGUUCUCUCUAAGUUUGGAAUUUCCCCAAUUGGCCUUUCACUCACGGGUGUGUCGGGAUGUAGUUUUCUGUUCACGCCUGUUAUCAGUCUCCUCUCAUUCAUUUCUAUCUUCUUUCCAGGAAUGUCUCGAAUUUCCUGGUCUUUUAAUGGUGGUUUCAUUUCAUGUUUUCCUAGAAUGCUGUAAAUGUAUUCUUUCUAAAAUAUAGCUUUUUAUUUUAAUAGAUUCAGGAUUGGAGGGAAGGUGAAAGCUUGCACUGUUUGUCAACUAGAUCUAAUAUCAUUCAUGUGUAUAUAUAUGUAUAUCUGUUUUAUAUUUUUAUUUUGUGUACUAUAGAAAAAUUAU